CAAGUCGAACGGCAGCACGGAGAGCUUGCUCUCUGGUGGCGAGUGGCGAACGGGUGAGUAAUAUAUCGGAACGUGUCCAAUAAUGGGGGAUAACGAGUCGAAAGAUUCGCUAAUACCGCAUACGCCCUACGGGGGAAAGCAGGGGAUCGUAAGACCUUGCGUUAAUGGAGCGGCCGAUAUCUGAUUAGCUUGUUGGUGAGGUAAAGGCUCACCAAGGCGACGAUCAGUAGCUGGUUUGAGAGAACGACCAGCCACACUGGAACUGAGACACGGUCCAGACUCCUACGGGAGGCAGCAGUGGGGAAUUUUGGACAAUGGGGGCAACCCUGAUCCAGCCAUUCCGCGUGAGUGAAGAAGGCCUUCGGGUUGUAAAGCUCUUUCGCAAGAGAAGAAAACUUAUGAUCGAAUAAAUCAUGAGGUUGACGGUACCUUGAUAAGAAGCACCGGCUAACUACGUGCCAGCAGCCGCGGUAAUACGUAGGGUGCGAGCGUUAAUCGGAAUUACUGGGCGUAAAGCGUGCGCAGGCGGUUUUGUAAGUCGGAUGUGAAAUCCCCGGGCUCAACCUGGGAACUGCGUUCGAAACUGCAAGGCUAGAGUGUGUCAGAGGGGGGUAGAAUUCCACGUGUAGCAGUGAAAUGCGUAGAGAUGUGGAGGAAUACCAAUGGCGAAGGCAGCCCCCUGGGAUAACACUGACGCUCAUGCACGAAAGCGUGGGGAGCAAACAGGAUUAGAUACCCUGGUAGUCCACGCCCUAAACGAUGUCAACUAGUUGUUGGUAGAGUAAAAUCUAUGAGUAACGUAGCUAACGCGUGAAGUUGACCGCCUGGGGAGUACGUCGCAGAUUAAACUCAAGGAAUUGACGG
rnacentral:rRNA from 1 species